GAUGAACGCUGGCGGCGUGCCUAAUACAUGCAAGUCGAGCGAACGGACGAGAAGCUUGCUUCUCUGAUGUUAGCGGCGGACGGGUGAGUAACACGUGGAUAACCUACCUAUAAGACUGGGAUAACUUCGGGAAACCGGAGCUAAUACCGGAUAAUAUUUUGAACCGCAUGGUUCAAAAGUGAAAGACGGUCUUGCUGUCGCUUAUAGAUGGAUCCGCGCUGCAUUAGCUAGUUGGUAAGGUAACGGCUUACCAAGGCAACGAUGCAUAGCCGGCCUGAGAGGGUGAUCGGCCACACUGGAACUGAGACACGGUCCAGACUCCUACGGGAGGCAGCAGUAGGGAAUCUUCCGCAAAGGGCGAAAGCCUGACGGAGCAACGCCGCGUGAGUGAUGAAGGUCUUCGGAUCGUAAAACUCUGUUAUUAGGGAAGAACAUAUGUGUAAGUAACUGUGCACAUCUUGACGGUACCUAAUCAGAAAGCCACGGCUAACUACGUG
rnacentral:rRNA from 1 species